UCCUUGGUGGCUCAGUGUUAGAGAACCUGCCUGCCAAUGCAGGAGAUGCAGGUUCGAUCCCUGCGUCUGGAA
rnacentral:tRNA from 1 species